AGCUGUGCAUAGGGGGGGGCGGUUUUGUUGUUUUUCUUUUUUUUUUUAAGUCGCUCUUUAACGUUACGAAAGGAACAAUAAAAUGAAAGGCAAAACCGGCAUCUUAAAACUUGGCAAGUGAAAGCAGCUUGGACUGGCAGCCAAGAAUCCUGCUGUGGUGCAAAAAGAAUAGCAUCCACGGAGCCACCACAAUCCGGGGCUUCUCCUCUUUUAACAAUCGCGUCGGCACAGAGAAAUAAUUAUUCCUUGUAUCAGUGUUAAAAGAGUCAACAAGCUUAAAAAAAGCUUGCUUGGUGAACCUCCUCCAGAGCAGAAAACGUUCCAGAGGAGUUGGGCCUAGCAAUAUGGCAGCGCACGUUCCAUAGGAAAUCCUGCAGAAUGCUGCUGCUGCUGAGCUCUGUUCCCAAGGAGGGCACAAUCCCUCUGCUCCCUGCCCCGCUCCAGCCUUGACCACUGCAGGGACAGAGUUUUCUCCACCCCAAAAUUCCAACAGCAAAGCCAUCCCGGAUUUUCAAAGAUGCUGCAGCACGAAUUCUUUGGCUGCUGAAAACUUUGGGGAAAAGCUGGACACUUUAGAGCCCUCGAGCAGCGUGGUGUUAACAUUCCCAAAAAGCACCAUGGCAACCUCUCAGUGUUCUUGCCUUCGUGGUCAGCAAGUAGAAUCUCCAAAGGUAAAAAUAUCCUGUAUUUUUUUUUUUCCCCCUUUUCCAUCAGUCUUUGUCUGGCUCAGUUAAUUCUGCCCUGGGAGUUAAACAAGUUAAAUAAUUGUUAAACAAGUUAAACAAUUAAAUAAAAUUAUUUUUCCUGAUAAAGCCUUGGAGGGU
rnacentral:lncRNA from 1 species